UCCCUGGUGGUCUAGUGGUUAGGAUUCGGCGCUCUCAACGCCAUGGCCUGAGUUCAUUUCCCCGUCAGGGAA
rfam:Rattus norvegicus chromosome 5, whole genome shotgun sequence.